CCUACGGGAGACAGCAGUGAGGAAUAUUGGUCAAUGGGCGCGAGCCUGAACCAGCCAAGUCGCGUGAAGGAUGACUGCCCUACGGGUUGUAAACUUCUUUUAUCAAGGAGUAAAGUGAGGCACGUGUGCCUUUUUGUGUGUACUUUAUGAAUAAGGAUCGGCUAACUCCGUGCCAGCAGCCGCGGUAAUACGGAGGAUCCGAGCGUUAUCCGGAUUUAUUGGGUUUAAAGGGAGCGUAGAUGGGUUGUUAAGUCAGUUGUGAAAGUUUGCGGCUCAACCGUAAAAUUGCAAUUGAUACUGGCAGCCUUGAGUACAGUUGAGGUAGGCGGAAUUCGUGGUGUAGCGGUGAAAUGCUUAGAUAUCACGAAGAACACCGAUUGCGAAGGCAGCUUACUAAACUGCCACUGACAUUGAGGCUCGAAAGUGUGGGUAUCAAACAGGAUUAGAUACCCGAGUAGUC
rnacentral:rRNA from 1 species